UGGGGAAUAUUGGACAAUGGGCGCAAGCCUGAUCCAGCCAUACCGCGUGGGUGAAGAAGGCCUUCGGGUUGUAAAGCCCUUUUGUUGGGAAAGCAAUCCUAUCGGUUAAUAACCGGUGGGGAUGACGGUACCCAAAGAAUAAGCACCGGCUAACUUCGUGCCAGCAGCCGCGGUAUAACGAAGGGUGCAAGCGUUACUCGGAAUUACUGGGCGUCAAGCGUGCGUAGGUGGUGGUCUAAGUCUGCUGUGAAAGCCCUGGGCUCAACCCGGGAAAUGCAGUGGAUACUAGAUCACUAGAGUGGGGUAGAGGAAUGCGGAAUUACUGGUGUAGCUGUGAAAUGCGUAGAAAUCAGAAGGAACAUCCGUGGCGAAGGCGGCAUCCAGGGCCAACACUGACACUGAGGCACGAAAGCGUGGGGAGCAAACA
rnacentral:rRNA from 1 species